GACGAACGCUGGCGGCGUGCCUAAUACAUGCAAGUCGAGCGGGCCUCCGGAGGUGCUUGCACCUCCGGACGGCCAGCGGCGGACGGGUGAGUAACACGUGGGCAACCUGCCUUUGAGGCCGGGAUAACACCGGGAAACCGGUGCUAAUACCGGAUACGUCCUCUUUCGCGCCUGCGCGAGGGGAGAAAGACGGUCUUUAAGGCCGUCGCUCAAAGAGGGGCCCGCGGCGCAUUAGCUGGUUGGUGGGGCAAGGGCCUACCAAGGCGACGAUGCGUUGCCGACCUGAGAGGGUGAUCGGCCACACUGGGACUGAGACACGGCCCAGACUCCUGCGGGAGGCAGCAGUAGGGAAUCAUCCGCAAUGGGCGAAAGCCUGACGGUGCAACGCCGCGUGAGUGAGGAAGGUUUUCGGAUCGUAAAGCUCUGUUGUGAGGGAAGAACAGCAUCCGGAGGAAAUGCCGGAGGUUUGCCGGUACCUCACCAGAAAGCCCCGGCUAACUACGUGCCAGCCGCCGCCGUAAUAC
rnacentral:rRNA from 1 species